UAUUAUUUUUGAACUUUUGAGAGUGUAAUUUUUAAUGUUAUUUUUUAUUGUUUAUUUCACUUUUGUUUAUUAUCCAUUUCACUUGGUUGGCAAUGUAAACAUAUGUUUCCCAUGCCAAUAACAUAUGUUUCCCAUGCCCCUUAAAUUGAAAUUGAAUUGAGAGAGGGAGAGAGAGGAGGGAGGGAGUGAGUGAGUGAGUGAGUGAGUGAGUGAGUGAGUGAGUGAGAGAAAGAGAGAGAGAGACAGACAGUCAGAAACACAGACGGACAGAUCGUUGUUUUAGUGACUCGAUUAUUUUCUGCGCCAGAUGUUCCAACCAAUGAAAGCGCUCGGGAAGGAGGAGGCGGAGGCUGGAAUUUCAGGGAUGCUUGUUAUGGCUGUCAAACCACUAGCGAUGAGAAAAACAUAUUUUUCCAUGUAAAAUUCACCCCUGACUCCAAUGAAAAAUGGACACAACGGUUGUUCCUAUAUGGAUUUAUAUGGUGGUCACCAUCCUGUCGACGUUGCACGCCGACCGGAAUGUUUACCCGUCUGCAGGUGUGCUGUUUGUCCACGUCCUGGAGAGAGAGCACUUCAAAGGAGAGUUUCCCCCCUAUCCCAAACCUGGGGAUUCCAGCAACGACCCCAUCACCUUCAACACCAACCUGAUGGGCUACCCAGACCGGCCAGGCUGGCUGCGUUACAUCCAGAGAACCUCACACAGCGAUGGGGUGCUCUACGGAUCCCCCACUGCCGAACACGUGGGCAAGGCCACCAUCAUAGAGAUUAUUGCCUAUAACAGACGCACUUUCGAAACGGCCCGGCACAACUUGGUCAUAAACAUCAUGUCCACAGAAGAGUACCCACUGCCGUACCAGGCAGAGUUCUACAUAAAGAACAUGAAUGUGGAGGAGAUGUUGGCAAGCGAGGUUCUGGGAGACUUCCUAGGGGCAGUGAAGAACGUGUGGCAGCCCGAACGCCUCAACGCCGUCAACAUCACCUCAGCCCUGGACAGGGGCGGACGUGUUCCCCUGCCCAUAAACAACCUCAAAGAGGGUGUGUAUGUGAUGGUGGGAGCUGACGUGCAGUUCUCUUCCUGCCUGAGGGAGGUGGAGAACUCCCAGAACCAGCUCCGCUGCAGCCAGGAGAUGGAGCCUGUCAUUAGCUGUGACAAGAAGUUCAGAGCCCAGUUCGACAUCGACUGGUGUAAGAUCAAUCUGGUGGACAUCACCAAGAUGAUCAUGAUCCACAGUAAUCGUCCAGACCCAGGGACGGGGGUCCUGCCUGACAUCGGGGGGUACAACCCCCCGCCAGAGUCUCUGAAGAGCAGGGACUUCUUUGCCGACUUCCUCAUCACGUUGGCGGUGCCCUCGGCCGUGGCCAUGGUCCUCUUCAGCGUCCUGGGUUACUCCAUGUGCUGCCGGCGGGAAGGGGUGGAUAAAAGAAACAUGCAAACACCAGAGCAUCACAGCUCCAUCCAGAAGUCGACCAAGGAGCUGCGGAGCAUCCAAAGUGAAGAGGUGGUGCCCCCAUACACCCAGACAACUACGAGACAACAAGCAUGCCCCUGA
ensembl:lncRNA